GCGCCUGUCCCCAUCUCUGGGCUGGGUCGGCGAGCGGAACCGCUCCGCAGUGCCAGGCGCCUUCGGCCUUCCCUCCCGUGCCGCCCCGCCGCCACUCACAUGCCCGCCGCGGCACACAAAGGACCGUUAGCUCCUGCCCCGGCUGCCGCCGUCGCCGCUCCCGACACGGGGAAGGGGUGGGGCUGCCCAAGGCGGCGAGCGGGCGGGGCUGUGCUCUGAGGUCUGCGCCGCGGAAGAAGAGGGAGGAGGAAGCGAGGAACUAGUGGAGAAGAAGUCCUGAAAGCAGCGUCGGUGUACGGAGGUGUGUCCGGCCCUUCAGCCGGUCUACCGUGGCGGCUGACAGUGCGGCCGGACUGCAGCCCCGACUCUGCCGGCAGUGGAGGCCCCGCAGACGGAGCUUGCCUGCUCCGUGAGCUAGGAGAGGCUUCCCUCGGCCUUGCGCCAAAUUGACAAGACCGGUCGCUCCCGCCCCCGAGAAAGCGAGGCUGGUCUCUUCGAACGAGAGGAAGGACGCAGUUUGGCUUGCCGAUGGUGCGCGUAUAACACAAGGCUGCCAGAGCCGUGAGGUAACGCUGAGAUCCAGAGCAAAUUCCUCCUCCAGCAGGGCAAGCCAGCAGAGCAGCACAACGGCGUUUCACACAAUUCCCAGCAUUCAUGCAUCACCCGGAGGGCACAACGUUACAGCUGAUAAACCUCAGGUUUCUCAGAGAUGCGGAACACAGGAGGAAACGUCGUUUUCCUGCACUGCUAUCAAUCACUUCCUUUAUCACGAGAAUUUGUUGGAAUCGAUCUACUUUAUCUCAUUGGGUAUAUGAGGACUGGGCAAACAGAUAUGCAGUGUUCAGCAGUCUGUUGAGUUAAAGCACAGCAGGGGAGAAAAGACCCAGGAACCUGUUUGGAGAAAGUAUAUCAAACUAAGAAAUAAUAAGCCUACUGCAGGAAGCUUAAAACCCACAAUGGAAUAUGAUACCUACAAAAAUGUAUGGCAUGAGGGGCACAAAUGUGAAUGACUGGACAAGAUGGGAGGAGUUGAAGCCUGAUAUAAUUCC